GGUACGCUUGAACAGAGUUACCAUCAUCUUUGACAUAGAUUAUUUAUCGGUAUUAUUUCUUUUAAUUUAUAUCAAAAAACAAAAGGUUUUUAAGAGGUUAUGUACGUGAAUUUCAAAAAAUAAAAAUAGUAUAGUAAAGUAUUAAUUAAUUAAUAGUAUAAUAAAGUAAUUAAAAAAACUUAAACAAUUACAGUGAAUAAUAAAAAUGUUUGGAAUAUUAAAUCUAGCAAAUAUUAUUUUUAGGUCUUCAUUAUGUUCAAUUAAAAAUUCAUGCAAUAUCUCCACAUACACACAUCCUUUAUAUUUUCGAGCAACAGAGAUACUUUUAGGAGAACCCUUAAAAAAGAAAAAAAGAAUUGAUCCUGCAGUAAUUAGAGCUAAAGAAGAAAGAAAGAAAAGGAAGCUACAAAAAAGAAUUCGCAUGUUAGAAAAACAUGCAAAUCAUAUGAAACCAAUUUUUGAAAUCGAUACAUUGGCCGAACAAUUGCAAAAUGACAAAAGAUCUUGUCAUUUGACAUCAUUAUCAGAGGAAGAAAUAGAAAGGAGAAGAUUAUUAGAAAGAGAAUGGAUUAAAUAUAAGCAAUAUCAAUGGUUAAAAGAUUUAUAUGUUAUAAAAUCUAUGCUGGCCUCACAGAAAACAGCAUUGGAAGAAUUAAAAGCUGUCUCAAAACAGCUUUAUAAAAAAGCAAUCGAAUUUGAUGAUUUAUAUUUACCGUAUGAUGUAAUUGGACCAGUACAUACUCCACCAAUAAAAAAUUACGAUAGUCCCGAUGGUGAAUAUAUAGAAACUACCAUUAAAUAUGUAGGAGAAUAAGUACACAAAGCAAUGGAAUGGAUCAAUAAAAGAAUUAAUUUAAAUAAAGGAUCAUAGGAGUGAAAAAAAGAGAUGCUAUUCGUACGAGUAAGAUUAAAAUAAGAAAAGCCGAUGCGCUAAUAGUGAAUGAUUUUAAUAUUACCGGAGCAUAAAGCUCUUCAAGAUUUUCAAACAUCUCCAAAUGAAGAAACUUCAAAAUCGAUGGAAACAUCUCGGCGAAGAUUUUCUCCGUUGUCAAAUAAUAAAUCCAUGUUAUCAUCGUACCUUGUUCCAAACCAAAAACAAGAAGCAUAAAUGUUAGCGUUACAAUAAAGGUGACGGCUUUUGUCCAUUCAAAAACUAUUUUGGUAGCAGACAUAGCUAAAUGUUUAAUCUUGGACCUUUCCGUGAGAGUCACAUAAG